rnacentral:lncRNA from 1 species
GCUGAUGUGGUCCAUCGCCUUCCUUUUUCUUUUUUGCUUGGAAUUUUUCCUCCGCUCUCAACGAGGCUACGGGGGUUCGGCUCCCGUAGGCGAAGUCGGGGCGAAGCUCGGCUCCCGUGGGAGUCUAGAUGAAGAUCACCAGCAGUUGAAGUUGGUGACGAAGCCUGGCUCCCGUAGGAGUCCGGACGGAGUCCUCCCUA